rnacentral:rRNA from 1 species
AUUGAACGCUGGCGGCAUGCCUUACACAUGCAAGUCGAACGGUAACAGGUCUUCGGACGCUGACGAGUGGCGAACGGGUGAGUAAUACAUCGGGACGUGCCCAGUCGUGGGGGAUAACUACUCGAAAGAGUAGCUAAUACCGCAUACGAUCUGAGGAUGAAAGCGGGGGACCUUCGGGCCUCGCGCGAUUGGAGCGGCCGAUGGCAGAUUAGGUAGUUGGUGGGAUAAAAGCUUACCAAGCCGACGAUCUGUAGCUGGUCUGAGAGGACGACCAGCCACACUGGGACUGAGACACGGCCCAGACUCCUACGGGAGGCAGCAGUGGGGAAUUUUGGACAAUGGGCGAAAGCCUGAUCCAGCAAUGCCGCGUGCAGGAUGAAGGCCUUCGGGUUGUAAACUGCUUUUGUACGGAACGAAAAAGUCUCCUCUAAUACAGGAGGCCCAUGACGGUACCGUAAGAAUAAGCACCGGCUAACUACGUGCCAGCAGCCGCCGUAA